rnacentral:rRNA from 1 species
UACGUAGGGUGCGAGCGUUAAUCGGAAUUACUGGGCGUAAAGCGUGCGCAGGCGGUUUUGUAAGCCAGAUGUGAAAUCCCCGGGCUUAACCUGGGAAUGGCAUUUGGGACUGCAAGGCUGGAGUUUGGCAGAGGAGACUGGAAUUCCCGGUGUAGCAGUGAAAUGCGUAGAUAUCGGGAGGAAUACCGAUGGCGAAGGCAGUCCCCUGGGCCUGUACUGACGCUCAUGCACGAAAGCGUGGGGAGCAAACAGG